rnacentral:rRNA from 1 species
AAACGUAGGAGGCAAGCGUUGUCCGGAUUUACUGGGCGUAAAGGGAGCGCAGGUGGCUCAUCAAGUCUGGGGUGAAAUCUCCCGGCUCAACCGGGAGGGGUCUCUGGAUACUGAUGGGCUUGAGGGAAGCAGAGGAGAGCGGAAUUCCCGGUGUAGCGGUGAUAUGCGUAGAUAUCGGGAGGAACACCAGUGGCGAAGGCGGCUCUCUGGGCUUUUCCUGACGCUGAGGCUCGAAAGCGUGGGGAGCAAACCGGAUUAGAAACCCGAGUAGUCC